rnacentral:rRNA from 1 species
GACGAACGCUGGCGGCGUGCCUAAUACAUGCAAGUUGAGCGAUGAAGAUUGGUGCUUGCACCAAUUUGAAGAGCAGCGAACGGGUGAGUAACGCGUGGGGAAUCUGCCUUUGAGCGGGGGACAACAUUUGGAAACGAAUGCUAAUACCGCAUAACAACUUUAAACAUAAGUUUUAAGUUUGAAAGAUGCAAUUGCAUCACUCAAAGAUGAUCCCGCGUUGUAUUAGCUAGUUGGUGAGGUAAAGGCUCACCAAGGCGAUGAUACAUAGCCGACCUGAGAGGGUGAUCGGCCACAUUGGGACUGAGACACGGCCCAAACUCCUACGGGAGGCAGCAGUAGGGAAUCUUCGGCAAUGGACGAAAGUCUGGCCGAGCAACGCCGCGUGAGUGAAGAGGGUUUUCGGAUCGUAAAACUCUGUUGGUAGAGAAGAACGUUGGUGAGAGUGGAAAGCUCAUCAAGUGACGGUAACUACCCAGAAAGGGACGGCUAACUACGUG